GGCUUAGUAAAUAUGCAUCAGAAAUAAUUCUGGGGAGUUGUGCAGGUACUCUUGUAGUGAUAAUUUUUUUUUUUUUAAUGUAUUUAGGAGAGAAGUAUAUUAUAUACGAAAAAGUUUGUUUUUAAUGACCACCUAACUGUUGUGUAAUUUAGACUUACUGCUUCUCACAUGCAAUAUAUUGUGAUUUUAGUGAUGGCUGUGGCAUAGUCAGUCUCUAGUGACAGAAAUUACUCCUGCAUUUUAUAUCUCAGAUUUACAUGCCAGUCAGGUGCUCUGUUAGACAAAGUCAGUUAGGUGCUACAGAAUACUAUGAUCACAACCUGGCAAAUACAAAAUCAUACAUGCCACAAUAAAAAUCAGGUAGACUUGAUAGAAAGAUUCAUAUUAGUUUCAGGGUGCUUCAAAUAAAAAUAAAAAUAAAAAUGCAACUGUUGGAUCUUAAAUGAAACUAUGAGCACAGAUGUGACAAAACUAUUAUUAUAAACUGAUUUUUUAAAACCAAGAGAACAUCCUAUAAUUUUGGGAGUGCUUUACACUUGCUCAUUGUGACAUGGUGAGUUCCUUUUUAAUAAGAAUAUCUGAGCAGAAGUUCACUGGGGCAAGGAGAUUUUCUACAGUUGGUAUGGCAUAAUACCAUUAUUUAUAAUAUGUAAUCUGUUUAGCAAACUGACUGACUUCACAAUUAAAUGAAGAACUUUACUGCAUAAGAGAUUUACUGAUGCAUAUAUUUUCCUUCAUAUGUUAGAAGGUUAAAAGAUUAGUAACUUUGCAUGUUUACCAAAUGGUUAAUAUAAUUUAUAUGUGCACCAAAAUGUUAAAAGAAAUUAGUAUGCCUAACUACCAAAGAAGCAAGAAAUUUGAGGAUAAGGACAGCUAUGAAGAUGGAUUUAUAUUUAGGAUGUUAGGGAUGUGCAUUUAGUUCCUCAGUCCAUCAUAUAUUUCAGGUAAGAUUUUGCACAAAUGAUUUUCAUCACCACACUAUGACAUGCCAGAGGCGCUAUAAAUUAAUUACUCUCAAUAACUCCUUUACUGUGAGGAUGACAGAGCACUGAAACAGGUUUCCCAGAGAGGCUGUGGAGUUUCCUUCUCUGGAGAUAUUCAAAACCUGCCUGGAUGUGAUCCAGUGCAACGUGUUCUUGGUGGCCCUGCUUGGUACGAGGGUUUGACCAGAUGAUCUCCAGAGGUCCCUUCCAACCUUAAGCAUUCUGUCAUUCUGUGAUUCAGUCUCCAGCUGGGUAAAUAAUUUCUUUGAGUAUUCUGGCCUGCACUGUGCAAUGUAAGGACAUUCUUCAUAAACAUGGAGAGAUCACUGUAUGAGUGAGAAGAUCACCAC
rnacentral:lncRNA from 1 species